rnacentral:rRNA from 1 species
GAUGAACGCUGGCGGCGUGCCUAAUACAUGCAAGUCGAGCGAACAGACGAGGAGCUUGCUCCUCUGACGUUAGCGGCGGACGGGUGAGUAACACGUGGAUAACCUACCUAUAAGACUGGGAUAACUUCGGGAAACCGGAGCUAAUACCGGAUAAUAUAUUGAACCGCAUGGUUCAAUAGUGAAAGACGGUUUUGCUGUCACUUAUAGAUGGAUCCGCGCCGCAUUAGCUAGUUGGUAAGGUAACGGCUUACCAAGGCAACGAUGCGUAGCCGACCUGAGAGGGUGAUCAGCCACACUGGAACUGAGACACGGUCCAGACUCCUACGGGAGGCAGCAGUAGGGAAUCUUCCGCAAUGGGCGAAAGCUUGACGGAGCAACGCCGCGUGAGUGAUGAAGGUCUUCGGAUCGUAAAACUCUGUUAUUAGGGAAGAACAAAUGUGUAAGUAACUAUGCACGUCUUGACGGUACCUAAUGAGAAAGCCACGGCUAACUACGUG